CUGUUUGGGGCGAACAAACAAACGACCCCGCGGUCACAUUCACCGGAAUGACGCUAGGAGAAAACUACGCAUCGCUGUGAGAAGGAAUAUGGCGUUUGAUAUCGGUUUUGUUUGUGUUUCUGCUAAUAGACGGUUGCAGGUGGACUGGUGUUUACAUGGUCCGUGGGAGCUGGAAGUCCGCAGUCAGCUGUGUGGCGGCUGCAGUGCUUUGAUUAGUCUCCUAGCUGCAGAUCUGCAGCCUCAAUAGAUGUCAUCUGGGAAGAAGAAGAAGAAGAAGAAGAAGAAGAAGAAGAAGAAGAGGAGCCUUGUAGAGACCAGCUGAAGGAACAUCUUCUCUGAGCUGAAGCUCUGAGAUGAGUGCCCAGUUUCCGGACCACAACGGAGAAGUUCCUUCAAUCCAUUCAUGCCGCCUUCUCUCCGUACUCACUGUAUACUCAUAGUAUUGUAUGUCAUGAAAUAAUUUAAUAAAAAAGUAAGUAAUAGUACGUAUUAUGUCAAAAAAAAAAGCUCAGAAAAGUCAUACAUGUCAAAAAGUGUUAUUACAUUACAUAAUUAUUACAUAAUACAUAUUGUAUUAUGA